rnacentral:lncRNA from 1 species
GCAAAAAAUGAAUGUAACAUAAUGGUUUGUUAGAUGUAUGGGCAUAAAAGAAAGGAAAUGGUUAGAAUAUUUGAGUUAAAAUAGGAAUGACCGCAAUUGAAGAUAAGAUGACAAAAAAUUAGUUUAAGUGGUUUGAAUAUGUGCACCAAAGACCUAGAAAUGCUCAAGUUAGUAGAUGCAAUUAUGAGAUAGAGGCUCAAGGCAAAAUGAACAUAGAAAAACCUAGGAAGACUUGGAAAGAGACACUAAGAAAAUAUAUGGAGUACUUGGAGCUAACGAAAAACUUGACACAAAUCUGAGUGAGUGGCGUGUUUAGGAUUGAUACAGAGAUAACCCUAGAACAGUGAAUUUAGACCAAUCGAGGAGAUGACCUUUUAUUAUAGCGAAGUCCAUAUUAAACCGGGGGAACCCUAGACGAUAUCUAGGAAGUAGAUAUUGCAUUCUCAUAGGAGUGUAAUUACUUGCGACGCACACUAGUCCUUAGAUUGUAAGGACUCCAAUAUUAUAGGAAACAUGUUAACUCCUUGCUGGAUUAGGUUUCCGUAUCUUCCGGAACAAGCAUGGUCACUCUCAGCGAAGUCGUUGGACUUUGCCCGCAGAUUCCUAAACAUGAUGAUUGUGGCAUCGUUGCUCCGUUUAUUCAACUUCGCAAUAGAGGUUGUUGAGUUCAUAACCAAACUUUUGAAGCAUGUGUAUUUGAUUUGCCCUACUUCGACCCUGGAAAAUCAUGGUUUGACAUUUAAUUAUUUGAGUUUGCUUGUUAGUUUAGGAUUUGAGCCAUCCGAAUUAGAGUUUCUUAGGUUUUGCACCCUAGAAAUAUAACUUAUAAUUUAGCAUGAAUAAUAGGCUGUUGAGUUCAUAACCAAACUUUUGAAGCAUCUCGGCAAUCUCGUUUAGUUGUUUUCUGUUAAUAAUAUAAUGUUCAUAGUUAUAUAUCAUUUAUUUGUACGUUCGUUAUUUUCAACUUAUAUAAUUAUAUAUAAGGCUUUUUAGCCAAAAUAGUCCUUGAAAUUUGCAUAACUCCUCACUUUGGUCCUUGAGAUUUGAAAUCGAUAGAAUUGUUUAAAAUUAACAAGAGGUCCUUUUGUUCAAAAAGAAAAAGAAAAAAACAAAAAACAAAGAGAGGUCCCGAGUAUAAAUUUAUAUUUUUUACUUUCCAAUGAUUAUUCUUUCUAAUAUUUACAAAUUUCCAUUUAGUUGUUAAUGUCUUUUUAAUUACUAGCUAGUAACUAUGUGGGUUUAAGUUUUAAAUGUUCAUUCCAAUUCAACUCUAACUUUCAACAAAGAGUAAUGCGUAGACCAACUUUUUAGACCAAAUUUGCAAAUCAUAUGACUUGUCACAAAUAGAUUUAAUUUAGUGCUCAUUCAUUACUUACAAAUAUCAAUUAAAGACUCGAAAAUAUGAUUAUUUUUUUAGUCUUAUACUAACAAGGUUAGUAAACAAGAAAAAAAACGUCUCACAAUUUAUAUAGAAACACUUUAAAAGUUUUGAUAGAGGGGAAACAAGACUCUUAAUCUAUCUGCUUGUAAGCUGAGGCUUUUUUAGUACAUACUAAAUUAGUUGUUUCGUGUUUCUAAAUAAUUGAGUUUGAAGUACUUUACUAAAUAUAGUUUUAUAUAAAUCUUACAUGUGAAAACAAAUAAUUUUUCAUAUAUAAAGUUAUGACAUUUUUUGGCUCGCCCUGGGCCUCAAAAAUUCCAAGAUCGGCACUGUCCAAACUUGCACUCAUCCUCUCUCUUGAAUCCUAAUUUCGCAGACCAUCAAAACCAUGGCCGCUAUUUACAAUAGAUCCAUUAAUUGCCUCGCGCCGUUGCUGGUUGCCCAGCCAUGAAACGGGCAGUUUCAGAUUUGGUGGAGGAAUCCUCUGGUGGGCACCUACCUAAUCCUUCAUAAACCCUGCAGUUUUGUUAGCUUCUACAUUCCUGGUCCUUCAUAAACUUACAGUUUUAUGGAAAUAAAACCCUUACAAGCAACUAUUAUUUACUCUUAAAGAUGUAAUAUCUGUUUAAGACACUUUAAAACGACAUCAUGUCAUGCAAAUAUUUCACCGAAAAAGAUCAUCUCUCUUAACCAAGUAGCAAUGCUAGCAACAAACACUACAACACUGGCUGCCUCACUCGCUGGUCGUGAGGUAGACACCUACAAUGGUCGCAGGGUGUAUACAAGCAGUGACUGCGGCAGCAAGUGUUGCAGCGUUUAUUGCUACAAUUUGUUCCUUAAGAAGUUCCACAUUUAACAAC